rnacentral:tRNA from 1 species
AUACCCAUAGCUUAAUUGAGGGAGCAUUUGCCUUCUAAGCAAAGGGUUGUAGGUUUGAAUCCUAUUGGGUAUU